rnacentral:rRNA from 1 species
AUGGCGGCCACCACCAUGUCCCUUUCCUCCUCAGCAUUUGCUGGCAAGGCAGUGAAGAUUGUGUCAUUGUCGACUCUCUUCGGUGAGGAACGUGUCACCAUGCGCAAGACUGCGGCAAAGGCAAAGCAAGUUGCCUCUAGCAGCCCGUGGUACGGGGCUGACCGCGUGCUCUACCUCGGCCCGCUAUCAGGUGAGCCACCGAGCUAUUUGACCGGUGAGUUCCCUGGUGACUAUGGGUGGGAUACCGCCGGGCUCUCAGCUGACCCCGAGACCUUCGCCAAGAACCGUGAGCUGGAGGUGAUCCACUGCCGAUGGGCUAUGCUUGGCGCGCUCGGUUGUGUCUUCCCUGAGUUGCUCGCCCGCAAUGGUGUCAAGUUUGGCGAGGCUGUUUGGUUCAAGGCUGGCUCCCAAAUCUUCAGCGAGGGCGGCCUCGACUAUCUCGGCAACCCCAGCCUCGUCCACGCGCAAAGCAUCCUGGCCAUUUGGGCUUGCCAAGUUGUGCUCAUGGGCGCUGUCGAGGGGUUCCGCAUUGCCGGUGGCCCACUCGGCGAGAUUGUUGACCCGCUUUACCCUGGAGGCAGCUUUGACCCGCUCGGCCUAGCCGAUGACCCUGAGGCGUUCGCGGAGCUCAAGGUGAAAGAGAUCAAGAACGGCCGCCUUGCCAUGUUCUCCAUGUUUGGCUUCUUUGUGCAGGCCAUUGUCACAAGCAAAGGACCGCUAGAGAACCUCGCUGACCAUAUCACCGAUCCCGUCAACAACAAUGCAUGGGCAUUUGCCACCAACUUCGUGCCCGGCAAGUAA